UCCUGGCUCAGGAUGAACGCUAGCUACAGGCUUAACACAUGCAAGUCGAGGGCAGCGCAGUGUAGCAAUACAUGGGCGGCGACCGGCGCACGGGUGCGUAACGCGUAUCCAACCUUCCGUUACUCAGGGAUAGCCUUCCGAAAAGGGAGAUUAAUACCCUGAUUGGUGUUGAAAUUCCGCAUGUUAUUAGAACUAAAGAUUUAUCGGUAACGGAUAGGGAUGCGUGACAUUAGAUAGUUGGCGGGGUAACGGCCCGCCAAGUCUACGAUGUCUAGGGGUUCUGAGAGGAAGGUCCCCCACACUGGAACUGAGACACGGUCCAGACUCCUACGGGAGGCAGCAGUGAGGAAUAUUGGUCAAUGGCCGAGAGGCUGAACCAGCCAAGUAGCGUGAAGGAUGAAGGUUCUAUGGAUUGUAAACUUCUUUUAUACGGGAAUAACAUCACCUACGUGUAGGUGCCUGCAUGUACCGUAUGAAUAAGCAUCGGCUAACUCCGUG
rnacentral:rRNA from 1 species